UUCGAGCUGUGGGCAGAAAGUGCUCUAGCAGGGACUCUGGCUUUGAGAGAGUCCCUGUUUCCUCCUUUUCUUCCUUUACACCCAAUAAAACCUGUCUUACCCUUCAAACUGUCUGCAAGCCUGAAUUUUCAUGGCUGUGGGACAAAGGACCCCAUCUUUAGCUGAACUAAGGAAAAAUUCCUGCAACAUUUUUGGCGUGCAUCGUGGGGACUUGAGAAGCGGUCCAAGAGCUCCAAGUUUAUCUUGGGACCUUAAGAGGAGAAGAUCACCAAACUCACAGGUCAUCAAACUCCAAGUGGCCAUGCAACCAGAGCCUCUGAUGAUGGCCCCUUCUGCUGGGAACCUUACGUAGGCCUCUGAGGGAGCUUUGACUGCCAUUUCCCCAAAACAGCACCCCUGUCACCAGGAAGCAGUUAAGAUCGGUCUUCAUACUUAUCCUUAUUCUAAGGGCAGUUGGAUGUGCUUCUUUAGAGGGGGGAAUGAGGCAGCCAAGUGGGAGGGGUCCCUGGAAAAACUCCAACCAGCCUGCACACUGGGGUGGAGCCUUAGGAAGUUCAUGCCAUUUGCAGCAGGGAGGCACCUGACUCCUUCUCUCUGUGUGGAACCUGGGAUUCAAUUUGCAAGCGGGAAGUGCUCUAGCAGGGACUCUGGCCUUGUGAGAGUCCCUGUUUCCCUCCUUUCUUUCUUUACAUCCAAUAAAACCCUGUCUUAUCAUUCAAAUCUGAAUUUUUGUG